GUAGGUUCCUAUUAGACUACUGAUUUCUUUUCAAACAAGGGUAGAUGUGUUGCAGAUGAUGAAACAGUUCUCAUUUGCAAAUGUCUGAGUGGUUGUUUCUCGUCACUGUCCAUUUUUUCUAAUCGUGGACAACGAAAGCACACAAUUACCACAUGGGUCUAUCAAGUUUUUCUUGUCAAGGGGAGGCUUUAGUUUCAAAAGGCACAAAGCAUCUACAAGCAGGAAUUA
rnacentral:lncRNA from 1 species